UACGUAGGGGCUAGCGUUAUCCGGAAUUACUGGGCGUAAAGGGUGCGUAGGUGGUUUCUUAAGUCAGAGGUGAAAGGCUACGGCUCAACCGUAGUAAGCCUUUGAAACUGAGAAACUUGAGUGCAGGAGAGGAGAGUAGAAUUCCUAGUGUAGCGGUGAAAUGCGUAGAUAUUAGGAGGAAUACCAGUUGCGAAGGCGGCUCUCUGGACUGUAACUGACACUGAGGCACGAAAGCGUGGGGAGCAAACAGGAUUAGAUACCCUGGUAGUCCCU
rnacentral:rRNA from 1 species